rnacentral:lncRNA from 1 species
UGCAUGUUAGGUAAAAACUAAUCUCAUAUAUAUGCAUGCAGUGACACUAAUUAUGUAAUAAUUUAUCUGAAGGUGAACGAUCAAACACAACUAGGUGCUGAAAAGUGAUAUAUACAGAAGUAAAAAAGAGCUUUUUAUGGGAAAGAUAAAGGGAGGAGAAAGAGGUCUUCCCCAGCUGGAAUGGGAACACACACGGUUAGAGAUGCCACGUUGGUUGCGUGUCCUCCCUUACUUAGGAAAUUCAUGUUUUGAACAUUGCAGCUCGUAAAUUGCAUGAACAAAAUUGAAGACUGAAAAUUUUCAUAUUGGAAGGGAAAUGUAAUACAAAAGCAUUUGUUAAACAUGUAUGGUGAUUUCUUACUAAGAUCUUGUGAGCCAACAAGUUCUUCCCUGAAAAAACUGAAACAAAUGGACCCUGUUGCUGAGUGGUUGUUGAAAAAUUAAGCAUCAUCAACGUUUCAUCUUUUCCAAAUGGAAAUUUAAUUCCAAAACGAUAAUAGUUGCAACUGACGUGCAACUUCACAUCUAUUUACGAUGUCGACUAAUAUUCAGAGUCACAUUAAUUUCUUGAAAAGAAAAGGGCAAGUGG